GGGGAGGCAGGCAACACCAGCCCUCAGGCUACACUCUCCAUUUGGAGCAGAGCUUCUUCGGCAGCCCCAGGUCUCCCGGGAUCUUCCUCGGUGUCCUGCGGAGGCUCUGGCUCCAGCGUGGGCUCCAGCGCAGGCUGGGCUUCCGGCUGGGCUUCAGCGCUCCGGCCAGGCCCAAGGCGAGGCGGCUUGACCGGGGUGGGCGGUGGCGCUGCAGGGCCUUUCCGGCCCGAAAGGGCCCUUCGGAGGCUCUGUACCUUCUGCAAUCCGGUGCGCCGCAGCCGCUGGGCCCUGGACUCCACCGGCUCCUCGUCCGAGCUCUCUCCAACUUCGGCCUCCAGCUGCUCUGGGCCCAGCUCGGACUGGUCCGCCGGGCCCAAGGGCUCUGGUGCCUUCUGGAAAGCGCUGGCUGGGACUUCACCCUCCUCCUGCAUGUGACGGACACAGCACUGAUCCUGGCAGCUCCUUACCCCCAGCAGCCCGAAACUCACUCCUUAAUUACACAAGGGAAACCUUUUACCUCCGCAGCCAGAGUCUGGGGGGAAAGGCAGGCGUGGGAAGAUGGGUUCUCUACCUGGCCAGUGCCAUGUUGCCUGUUUCUUUACUGUAACUGUGGUGACAAAGAAAAGGGAAGAUGGAGCCUCCAUGUUGAACAUACCUGGCCCCCAGCACUAACUCCCUCUCUGGAUAUCUGGAACAAGGAGGACCUUAAACUUAACAAUAAAGCCAAUGAUGGUUCUACCAGUCUCCCCAAAGCCUCAAGUUUAAAAGCCAUAUGAACUGGCUGAUAGUGGAAAAUGGAAGCCAUGAGGAAAUCAGAUUAGAGUACUACCUGGUGAAGCCUGGAGGACCUACCAAGAAAAGCAAACUUGGAUCUUUGCAAGGUUAGAAGAACGAAUGGGAUCCAAGAAAAAGACUGGUCAUAUUCAACGGCUAAGAGCGUUGGAGAAGGCCUGUGGAGUCUCAGCAGGUCAGGUCCAUGACUCAUGAGUAGACACCUGUGUUUCUACUGCCUGGUGCCAUAAUCAUAAACAAGGAAGAAACUGAGGACAGGAGGGGCCAAACAAGUUACAGUUUCAUCCCUCCAGAGAGCCAACAGAGUAUUUUGCACGAAGUUGAAGCUAAACAGAGUAAUCAGCAAAUGCCUUUCCUUUCUCCUGCUGAUGUUUUGCCCGUACUCAGACCCCUUGACUUCUUAGCUUCUACCCAAAGUGAGCUUGUCAUCAAAGUUCUCCAAAAAUCUGCAGUGUUCUCUUGAGCAAAUCUGCUUCCAAGACUAUAGCGCUCUGAUGCAUUGAGAUGACAGCAAGCGGCAUUUUUCAGUCCUGUUACCCAUAUGGCUGCUACCACUGCAUCCUGUUAAAUAAUGUCUUCAACCCAAGAAACCUGCUUCCUAGGGAAGUUUCUCUCUCUCUGCAUUUGUUCCCACUAGAGAAUGACCAUCACCAGAUUCCUGAACUGAAAAUGCUGUUGACACUUUGGAAACUCGGGCCUCUAUUAAUAGGGUGACCAACUAUCCUGGUUUACCUUGAGUACAGGAUUUUCAAUGCUAAAACCAGAAAAACCAGGAUGGUUGGUCAUCUGCCUCAGACCUAAUAAAUACCAGUCAAUAAUUCAGCCAUGAGCUUUCUUAAGACACUGUCUUUUCUUGACUGUUGAAUAGUCUAGGACUUGAGUAGCAGCUCUUUCUGCUACUGGACACUUGUUUUACUACCCUAUUUCUCUAGAUUUUAUUUUGUGGCUAAUAAUUAAGACAUAAAAUCAUGGGUUCUGGUUAUGCCAAAGCACUCACUCUUCAAAAGUUUCCAUCCAGAGUUGGAUAAUCCCACACAGAAGGUGUUCUUUCAACAGACCAGCAUCCAAUAGACCCAAUGCAGCAUUUUUCUUCCUGGUUCCACAUUAAUACAUCCUAUCUCUGCUAUGCUUAGGUCCCUGAUUUAUAAAUAUUUCAGACAUAUUUUCUCAGGACACAGGGAGUACUUAAACUUCCACAUAGCAGAGAUACGACAUACAAUAAGCUGUUAUCUGGAAACUCCUAGUGAUGCUUUGAGUACUUUACAGUAAUCUUUCUGGUCUUCCUCUCAACCCCAUUAAGUUUUUCUGUAACUAGCUGGUGUAUCUGUCUCCAUCUUUAAGGAAUAAGUCCCUAUUUGCUCAUGCUAUAAUCUCCCUCAUGCUCUCCGUCCCUCCUUCCCUCUCCUUCUCUCUUUCUGUCUCUCUCUCUCUCCACCCUGAUUGUGAGAUGCUACACCUUAAUAGUUUUCUAUACCUAGAUCCCUUUUGAAGGAGUAAUUUCAGCCAUCACUGAAAUCUAUGCUUUUUUAUCUUGUUAGAUUUAUUUAGGACCUAAUGACUGUUUCUGAGCUAAUAAUAACGCAAUCAGCUCAUAUUUUUCUGAUACUCUAAGAGCAAUUACAUCUAGUUGCAUCACCUUUUCCUUUUUUAUUCAUGUAUCUUAGGCUUCUCAAGAUAUGAGACUAGCACUUGAGCCUGAGAUAAGCCUUAAGAAUUCCAGGAUAGUCUCUCCAUAGUUCCCUUUCUUGGAUAAAGUCAUUUCAAAACAUCUUAGUGGAUCAGAUUUGGAGCAGCCUACUUACACUGGUGAAUACCACAACUAAUAAAUAAUUGUUCUGCACCCCACCCACAUCUAAAGGAUUCAGGGUGUCUUUUACAGAUAUAGGACUCUCCUUUCUCUGUUUCUCUUCUCUCUCUUCUCCUUGAUUAAAGCUUUGCUUCAGCUGUCCCUGCUCACUACGGCACUGCACCUCACCAGCAUCUUCAUGGCCCUCACAUGGCUCAUGUGCAUAUCCUAACUCUGAUACUAAGGGAGGAGACCACCCCUCAUAUUGUCUUAUGCCCAAUUUCUGCCUCCAAAGAAAGAAGAAGUAAAAACUAAAAGGCAGAAAUGAAAUCCACAAGCAGACAGCCCGGCGCCACACCCUGGGCCUGGUAGUUAAAGAUCGACCCCUGACCUAAUCGGUUAUUUGCAUAAGAAAAGCACUGUGAAGAUCCCUGUCCUGUUCUGUUCCAUUCUAAUUACCGGUGUAUGCAGCCCCCAGUCAUGUACCCCUGCUUGCUCAAUCGAUCACGACCCUCUCACGUGGACCCCCUUAGAGUUGUGGGCCCUUAAAAGGGACAGGAAUUGCUCACUCGGGGAGCUU
rnacentral:lncRNA from 1 species